rnacentral:rRNA from 1 species
GACGAACGCUGGCGGCGUGCUUAACACAUGCAAGUCGAGCGGUAAGGCCCCUUCGGGGGUACACGAGCGGCGAACGGGUGAGUAACACGUGGGUGACCUGCCCUCAGCUCUGGGAUAAGCCUGGGAAACUGGGUCUAAUACCGGAUAUGACUCCAUGACGCAUGUCGUGGGGUGGAAAGCCUUGUGCGGCUGAGGAUGGGCCCGCGGCCUAUCAGCUUGUUGGUGGGGUGAUGGCCUACCAAGGCGACGACGGGUAGCCGGCCUGAGAGGGCGACCGGCCACACUGGAACUGAGACACGGUCCAGACACCUACGGGUGGCAGCAGUCGAGAAUUUUUCUCAAUGGGGGAAACCCUGAAGGAGCGACGCCGCGUGGAGGAUGAAGG